rnacentral:rRNA from 1 species
GAUGAACGCUAGCGGCAGGCCUAAUACAUGCAAGUCGAACGGUGUCUUCGGACAUAGUGGCGCACGGGUGCGUAACACGUAUGCAACCUACCUUACAUUGGGGGAUAGCCUUUCGAAAGGGAGAUUAAUACCGCAUAAGACAGCAGCUGGGCAUCCAACAGCUGUUAAAGAUUUAUCGAUGUAAGCUGGGCAUGCGUCCAAUUAGCUAGUUGGUGAGGUAACGGCUCACCAAGGCAAUGAUUGGUAGGGGAACUGAGAGGUCAAUCCCCCACACUGGCACUGAGAUACGGGCCAGACUCCUACGGGAGGCAGCAGUAGGGAAUAUUGGGCAAUGGACGCAAGUCUGACCCAGCCAUGCCGCGUGCAGGAUGAAGGCGUUAUGCGUUGUAAACUGCUUUUAUACAGGAAGAAACGACUCUUGCGAGAGGCAUUGACGGUACUGUAUGAAUAAGCACCGGCUAACUCCGUGCCAGCCGCCGCGGUAACAC